CAGUCGCCGCGGUAAUACGUAGGAGGCAAGCGUUGUCCGGAAUUAUUGGGCGUGAAGCGCGCGCAGGUGGUUUAAUAAGUCUGAUGUGAAAGCCCACGGCUCAACCGUGGAGGGUCAUUGGAAACUGUUAAACUUGAGUGCAGGAGAGAAAAGUGGAAUUCCUAGUGUAGCGGUGAAAUGCGUAGAGAUUAGGAGGAACACCAGUGGCGAAGGCGGCUUUUUGGCCUGUAACUGACACUGAGGCGCGAAAGCGUGGGGAGCAAACAGGAUUAGAUACCCCAGUAGUCCCUGUCUCUUAUAC
rnacentral:rRNA from 1 species